rnacentral:misc_RNA from 1 species
AAGUCGUAACAAGGUUUCCGUAGGUGAACCUGCGGAAGGAUCAUUACAAAUAAAGCUGGUAGGAAGUGGGGUCUUGAUCUGUAAGUGGUAGAGCGAACAGUCCGGCCGCCUCCCGAAAAUGUCUUACAUGUCCCCCCACAGCCUGAAGGCCGAAUUACAACCCCUUGAUUAUCUACACCCUGUUGCUUUUGGGGGUGCUCAAGUGCCCCCAGAGGACCCAACUCUCUUGCCAUUUAGUGACGUCUGGUACUAUAUAUAUUUAAAA